rnacentral:rRNA from 1 species
AUGCAGUACGGCUUGCAAGCGAACCUGACUAACCGGCUCUCUAACGCUGCUGCGCUCGAGCUUGUUGCCUUGAAUGUUCUGUUGCAGGAUUUCCAGCUCUCUCAGGGUCCGGACGAGCGGGUCAUAAACCAUGGGGGCACAUUCUCUUCGAAGGCUGCCUAUGCACGGCUUGUUCGAGAAGAUGUGGAAGAUGAUAACUGGAGGUCGCGAGCUCACCCCAAGCUUAAGCUAUUUGGCUGGCUCCUCUUUCGCGGAUGGCUAAACACUAGAGCCAACCUUUUCCACAAGCAUAUAAUUUCAGAGGCUAACUGUCCCAGAUGCCCGUGCUCCUCUGAAGAUACUGCUCAUCUCUUCAUUGACUGCUCCAAAGCGCGCCAAGUACGGGGUCAUCUUCAAAGCACCCCGACUGCCAGAUUCCAAGACCUCUGGUCUGUCGUCGCCCCAGCUGGCCUUGACCCUGCUGUCUGGCCGGAGGUGCUGCUCGCAAUCCCGUGGAAGCUUUGGGACUCCAGGAAGCUGCUGCCUUCAGGAACGGCCAUCAUGAUGUUUCCACCACUAUCCACAACAUUUGUAAUGAUUUUGGACUCUGGUGCAACUGGUUUAGAGAUCCGGUAG